rnacentral:rRNA from 1 species
UGAGGAAUAUUGGUCAAUGGGCGAGAGCCUGAACCAGCCAAGUAGCGUGCAGGAUGACGGCCCUAUGGGUUGUAAACUGCUUUUAUAUGGGUAUAAAGUGAGGGACGUGUCCCUUAUUGCAUGUACCAUACGAAUAAGGACCGGCUAAUUCCGUGCCAGCAGCCGCGGUAAUACGGAAGGUCCAGGCGUUAUCCGGAUUUAUUGGGUUUAAAGGGAGCGUAGGCUGUUUGUUAAGCGUGUUGUGAAAUGUAAGAGCUCAACUUUUAGAUUGCAGCGCGAACUGGCAGACUUGAGUGCGCACAACGUAGGCGGAAUUCAUGGUGUAGCGGUGAAAUGCUUAGAUAUCAUGACGAACUCCGAUUGCGAAAGCAGCUGACGGGAGCGCAACUGACGCUAAAGCUCGAAGGUGCGGGUAUCGAACAGG